UUAAAUCCUAAUAUUGGCACAGAUCUACAAAUGGUGGAGUAAUUUUCCCCAAUUCAGAAAUUCCAAAGCACACAACAUUAAUCAGCUUCCCCUGACAAAUGCUUAAUAUUUCAGAUUAGCGCAAAUAAUCCAAUGCAAAUGACAACAUAUUUAAACCCAUCACUUAAGAGCAUAUUGGUGCCAUGCCAUUAGGUCAUACUGGAAAAGAAAAUUAUGCCAAUUACAGGUCACACAACAUGACUGGUGCUCUCUCCCUCCCUGCCUCUGCAGUGAGCUGUGAACGUAAUGUAACAUGUUGAUGUACUGAGUGUUAAAUGAUGUGGUGCAGAAAGGCCAGGCAGAGGGAGACAGAGGAGUGAGGUGAGGGAGACAGAGGAGUGAGGUGAGGGAGACAGAGGAGUGAGGUGAGAGAGACAGAGGAGUGAGGUGAGGGAGACAGAGGAGUGAGGUGAGGGAGACAGAGGAGUGAGGUGAGAGAGACAGAGGAGUGAGGUGAAGGAGACAGAGGAGUGAGGUGAGGGAGACAGAGGAGUGAGGUGAGAGAGACAGAGGAGUGAGGUGAGGGAGACAGAGGAGUGAGGUGAGAGAGACAGAGGAGUGAGGUGAGAGAGACAGAGGAGUGAGGUGAGAGAGACAGAGGAGUGAGGUGAGGGAGACAGAGGAGUGAGGUGAGAGAGACAGAGGAGUGAGGUGAGAGAGACAGAGGAGUGAGGUGAGGGAGACAGAGGAGUGAGGUGAGAGAGACAGAGGAGUGAGGUGAGGGAGACAGAGGAGCGAGGUGAGAGAGACAGAGGAGUGAGGUGAGGGAGACAGAGGAGUGAGGUGAGAGAGACAGAGGAGUGAGGUGAGGGAGACAGAGGAAUGAGGUGAGAGAGACAGAGGAGUGAGGUGAGAGAGACAGAGGAGUGAGGUGAGAGAGACAGAGGAGUGAGGUGAGAGAGACAGAGGAGUGAGGUGAGAGAGACAGAGGAGUGAGGUGAGGGAGACAGAGGAGUGAGGUGAGAGAGACAGAGGAGUGAGGUGAGAGAGACAGAGGAGUGAGGUGAGGGAGACAGAGGAGUGAGGUGAGAGAGACAGAGGAGUGAGGUGAGGGAGACAGAGGAGUGAGGUGAGGGAGUGCACGGAGAGUGAG